CUGACAUUGUCCUGAGAAGCUCACACUUCAAUAAAGAAUCCUAGGGGUGCCACAUUACUUAGAGACCCAAACACACAGAUAACCAAAUAUACCAGGAGUUUUCUGUGUGCAGGCAGGUUCUGGGGUCAGUAUGGGGUGUGGGCUUGUCUUCUAUCUGUGUUCAGGCAGGUUCUGGGGUCAGUAUGGGGGUGUGGGCUUGUCUUCUAUCUGUGUUCAGGCAGGUUCUGG